rnacentral:rRNA from 1 species
AGUGAACGCUGGCGGUAGGCCUAACACAUGCAAGUCGAACGGCAGCACAGUAAGAGCUUGCUCUUACGGGUGACGAGUGGCGGACGGGUGAGGAAUACAUCGAAAUCUACUUUUUCGUGGGGGAUAACGUAGGGAAACUUACGCUAAUACCGCAUACGACCUACGGGUGAAAGCAGGGGAUCUUCGGACCUUGCGCGAUUGAAUGAGCCGAUGUCGGAUUAGCUAGUUGGCGGGGUAAAGGCCCACCAAGGCGACGAUCCGUAGCUGGUCUGAGAGGAUGAUCAGCCACACUGGAACUGAGACACGGUCCAGACUCCUACGGGAGGCAGCAGUGGGGAAUAUUGGACAAUGGGCGCAAGCCUGAUCCAGCCAUACCGCGUGGGUGAAGAAGGCCUUCGGGUUGUAAAGCCCUUUUGUUGGGAAAGAAAGGCAGCAGGUUAAUACCCCGCUGUUCUGACGGUACCCAAAGAAUAAGCACCGGCUAACUUCGUG